CCUACGGGUGACAGCAGUGGGGAAUAUUGCACAAUGGGCGGAAGCUUGAUGCAGCAACGCCGCGUGGGUGAAGAAGUCCUCCGGUUUGUAAAGUCCUGUCAGCAGGGAAGAAAAUGACGUUACCUGUCCAAGAAGCCCCGGCUAACUCCGUGCCAGCCGCCGCGGUAAUACGGAGGGGGCAAGCGUUCUCCGGAUUUACGGGGUGUAAAGGGUGCGUAGACGGCAAGGCAAGUCAGGAGUGAAAGCCCGUGGCCCAACCACGGGACUGCUGUGGAUACUGGAUGGAUGGAGUGCAGUAGGGGUAAGCGGAAUUCCUGGUGUAGCGGUGAAAUGCGUAGAUAUUAGGAGGAACACCGGUGGCGAAGGCGGCUUACUGGACUGUAAUUGACGUUGAGGCUCGAAGGCGAGGGGAGCAAACAGGAUUAGAUACCCGUGUAGUC
rnacentral:rRNA from 1 species